CCUCUUCACCUAGGAGUACCAUCGGGAACUGCCACAACGAUUUCUGAGCCUAUGGUGCACUGGGCACAAACCAUGCAACUAUCUUGCACCAAAACUAAUACUAUCUCCAACUGGACCAAAGCGAGAUUCCAUAUGAUACACUUCAUCUAGUAGUUCCAUCGGGCGUGUCCAAAUUGAUUUCUGAGCAUAUACUAUGUUCCAUGCAAACCGUGCCCCUAUCUUGCAUCAAGAUUAGAACUAUCUCCAAACACACAGAACCAAGAUUCCACAUGAGCCUCUUCACCAAGGAGUACCAUCACGUGCGUCCAAAAUAGUUUCUUAGCCUAUG
rnacentral:lncRNA from 1 species